rnacentral:lncRNA from 1 species
CUUGGAAAAACCUUGGAUCCACGCCAAGGUUUAAUUUUCAAGUGCUCCCAUCUGUGUCUCCCCGGGGUGGGAGAUGUAAUGCUCUUAUCUUUUCUUUUGGGCCAAAUCUCCGACCACAAAAGGACCAAUUCAGGCUCCAGGGCCUCAGGAGAGAGAGUCAGGAAUGGAAAAAAACCAUCUUUAUUUUGGCAAAGCUGCCUGACUGAAGAGUGUCCAGGUGGAAAAGCUACUGGAGUAAGGAGAGGAUCCUUUCUGCUGGCCAGAUCUCAAGGAAAUUCAGAGUCUGACCCCCCAAAGAGAGGAAUUCUCCUCCCCACCAACCCAGAACGCUCAACAGCAGCAGCAGCAUCACCCAAACCCCCGGGGGAAUCCCAAAGCAGGCGUGUUUGGAGCCAUCCCUUCCCACUUCCCCGUCCCCAGAGCUGCCAUGGAGCUCGGGAGAAUUGGGAACAGCCUCCAGCUGAAGGAGGACAGGCUCAGGUUUUGGAUUUUGGGAACCAGCACCAAGCGGCUCCGAUCCGACAGGGAGUUAAAAAAACCCCUCCAAACCACAGAGGGGACAACCCAUCUGAUCCCUGCCGGGAGCCGGCUCUUAGCACGCUACACAGGAGCCGUGGCAGCUCGGAAUUUUAUUCACAAAGCCAAACAAUUCCAGCCUGGCAGCUGAGCAUCCUCCGGGGAUCAAUUAUUGCACCGUGCGCCGGCCACGCCGCGGCUCCCCCGGGAUGGAGCCGGCUCCAUCCUCCAGCCACGGGCUGCUCCUCAUGUCAAAACUGCCGCUAAUGACACAAUUAACUGGCUGGGGACUGCCGAGGAGCUCUUAAUUAGUGCGUACACAGAGGUCGCUUCCUCAAGCAGAGCAGCAGCUCGGGAAUUGCCGUCCGGUUUUAAGUGGAAAACCUCAGGGAGAAUCUGAGAUCCCCAGGGGGAAAAUGCAAAAACAUCUGUAAUUCUUCACAUGCUAACGGGACUGAGUGGCACUCGAGGACCAAAGCAAGGAUCCUGAAGCUCAGCCGGCUGCAGAUUUAAGGAUGCUUCAUCCCAGGCUCUGGAAAAAUGCAGAGCAUCGUGUCCCCCUGUUUCUUGCACCCCUGCAGCGUGGUAUUGCUUAGUCCUGAGUGUUGAAAUAAACCCUGCAGAGCCGAGCUGGAAGUUAAAUUC